AACGAACGCUGGCGGCAGGCUUAACACAUGCAAGUCGAGCGCCCCGCAAGGGGAGCGGCAGACGGGUGAGUAACACGUGGGAACCUUCCUAGAGGUACGGAACAACUCAGGGAAACUUGAGCUAAUACCGUAUACGCUCUUGCGAGGAAAGAUUUAUCGCCUUUAGACGGGCCCGCGUCGGAUUAGCUAGUUGGUGGGGUAACGGCCUACCAAGGCAACGAUCCGUAGCUGAUCUGAGAGGAUGAUCAGCCACACUGGGACUGAGACACGGCCCAGACUCCUACGGGAGGCAGCAGUGGGGAAUCUUGGACAAUGGGCGCAAGCCUGAUCCAGCCAUGCCGCGUGAGUGAAGAAGGCCUUCGGGUUGUAAAGCUCUUUUGCCAGGGACGAUAAUGACGGUACCUGGAGAAUAAGCCCCGGCAAACUUCGUGCCAGCAGCCGCCGUAAGAC
rnacentral:rRNA from 1 species